AUUGAACGCUGGCGGCAGGCCUAACACAUGCAAGUCGAGCGGAGAGGCGGACGGGUGAGUAAGGCCUAGGAAUCUGCCUGGUAGUGGGGGAUACGGUCCGGAAACGGGCGCCAUAACCGAUACCGAUAGGUGAAGCGUAGUCCGGAUAGGCAAGUUGGGGGGGUAAAGGCCUACCAAGGCGACGAUCCGUAACUGGUCUGAGAGGAUGAUCAGUCACACUGGAACUGAGACACGGUCCAGACUCCUACGGGAGGCAGCAGUGGGGAAUAGUGGACAAUGGGCGAAAGCCUGAUCCAGCCAUGCCGCGUGUGUGAAGAAGGUCUUCGGAUUGUAAAGCACUUUAAGUUGGGAGGCGUUACCAACAGAAUAAGCACCGGCUAACUUCGUGCCAGCAGCCGCGGUAAUAC
rnacentral:rRNA from 1 species